GGAUUGUAAACUCCUGUCGUUAGGGACGAUAAUGACGGUACCUAACAAGAAAGCACCGGCUAACUACGUGCCAGCAGCCGCGGUAAAACGUAGGGUGCAAGCGUUGUCCGGAAUUACUGGGUGUAAAGGGAGCGCAGGCGGGAAGACAAGUUGGAAGUGAAAACCAUGGGCUCAACCCAUGAAUUGCUUUCAAAACUGUUUUUCUUGAGUAGUGCAGAGGUAGAUGGAAUUCCCGGUGUAGCGGUGGAAUGCGUAGAUAUCGGGAGGAACACCAGUGGCGAAGGCGGUCUACUGGGCACCAACUGACGCUGAGGCUCGAAAGCAUGGGUAGCAAACAGGAUUAGAUACCCUGGUAGUCCAUGCCGUAAACGAUGAUUAUUAGGUGUUGGGGGAUUGACCCCCUCAGUGCCGCAGUUAACACCAUAAGUAAUCCACCUGGGGAGUA
rnacentral:rRNA from 1 species